rnacentral:rRNA from 1 species
UACAGAGGCCUCGAGCGUUGUUCGGAAUUACUGGGCGUAAAGCGAAUGUAGGUGGUGACGUAAGUCAGAUGUGAAAGCCCAGGGCUUAACCCUGGAAAUGCAUUUGAUACUGCGUUGCUAGAGUAUGAGAGAGGAAAGGGGAAUUCCUAGUGUAGGAGUGAAAUCCGUAGAUAUUAGGAGGAAUACCGAUGGCGAAGGCACCUUUCUGGUUCAUUACUGACACUGAGAUUCGACAGCGUGGGGAGCAAACAGG